rnacentral:antisense_RNA from 1 species
AUCCAUGGCGGGCCGGACGAGGCAGCCGCAAGGCUGACCGGGCAAUGGUUGUGACACCGGUUUCCACCCUCGUCGUCAGGCCCGCCGCCCUC